GACGAACGCUGGCGGCGUGCCUAAUACAUGCAAGUCGAACGCAUUGUCUUUCAACGUAGCUUGCUACACCGAAAGAAAGUGGGGGGCGAACGGGGGAGUAACACGUGGGUAACCUGCCCAUCAGCGGGGGAUAACACUUGGAAACAGGUGCUAAUACCGCAUAAUUCCAUUUACCGCAGGGUAGAUGGGUGAAAGGCGCUUUUGCGGCACUGAUGGAUGGACCCGCGGUGCAUUAGCUAGUUGGUGGGGUAACGGCCUACCAAGGCUGCGAUGCAUAGCCGACCUGGGAGGGUGGUCGGCCAACCUGGGACCGAGAACACGCCCCGACCCCUUAGGGAGGGAGGCGUAGGGAAUCUUCGGGCAUGGACGGAAGUCUGACCGAGGCACGCCGCGUGAGUGAAGAAGGUUUUCGGAUUGUAAAAAUCUGUUGUUAGAGAAGAACAAGGAUGAGAGUGGAAAGUUCAUCCCUUGACGGUAUCUAAUCAGAAAGCCACGGCUAACUACGUG
rnacentral:rRNA from 1 species